AGCCCGUACAUGUUAACAUAACAUAUUUUUAAGGAAAAAAAACCCAGUGUUUUCUAAAACAAAUAUUUACUGAGAAGAGUGCUGUUACUUUACACUUUUGCAAAUCUCUUUAAUGUCUGGCUUAGUAAAAGAAGAAUAAUUCUGUCUGCCUCUGCCUUCAGUCUGUUGUGAUGUGUUGCUUUGAUUGAAGUACAUGGAGAAAAUACAGCUUCACCAGAUAAAUAACUGGGAAAGGCAGGACUGUUUCAAUUGCCUUUUCAGAAAAUUGUGAAUAAUUGGUUUUGAUUAAUACAUCAAUCCUUCACAAAUGCUGGUUUCUUUAAAAAUUUCAGUGUGGAAUCUGAAACCACAUCAAGGAUAUUUUUGCACUUCGUCAUAUUAAAAACCAUUGGUGUAUCUUGAAUUUCGAAUGGAUCUUUUAUCCGUCCACACCUUUGUAACAUCAGGCUUUGGUCACUAGGAAAAUAUUGAUUUACUGAAUUACGCAGAUCUUCCAAAUGCUGACAAAUUUCAUUGUACAAUAUCAAAGAAUCUCAUUUAUUAUCGCCUCCACCCUCAUGUUGUAAAAGUCUUUCAGUAUCGAGAAGCACAUAAUUAUGGAUACAAAUUUUCCAAAAUUCAAAUUUCUCCUGAAACUUUUCAAGUUUUUUGUUGGCAACAAAUACUGUCAACUGUUUUCUCCCAAAUGUCUGCCAAACACCCAAGUCUGAAUAACUGUAGUUUGCUUAUCAGCUGUUCUUUCAAGGAGAAAGGGGAUUCCAUGAAGAAAGUAGUUUGCUCAGCUCACAGCUCAGCCCAGGUCCUGGGCGGACGAGGAGCAUGCUGUGCGUGCUGGUCACGUAGAAUGUUAACAAGACGUGCCCUCAGGGGUCAAGAUUUAAUAAACUUAAGAAAUUGUACUGCUGCAUCAAGAAAAUAGUUAAGUGAAACCAGCCUUUUGUUUAUUCCUGUAUGGAUAUGGUGGCAAAGAAUACAGUGACGGCCACUGCAGCACGGCACCCCUGCCCUGACCGCCACUCAGGGACCUGCAGUUUUGCCCCCCAUGGCUUUUACACCAUCAUUGCAAAUGUCAACACAACAAAAAAGGCAAAUCACAUCUAAUUUUAUUAUGGAAACAGUUCUGAGACUCCUGCAGGGUUUGAGACCUGCCCGCAGGGCCUUUGGGCCACACUUGGAGAAUCACUGUGUCAUUUGAUAGAUGUUCUGGUUCCGACGUUCCUCCUAGAUGUCCACCCAACUCCUCCUCUGUCCAGCAUGGCCCCUGUGCUCCCACCACCCAUCACUAUCUCGCCUGUUUCCUCCUGGUCGGGGCUCCCUGCUGUACCUCUGGAAACUCCAUCUGCCUCGGCCAUGCGUCGGGCGUGGUUCCUCCCUGUCAACACAUGCCUGCCCCGUGUCCCAGCCACUCUGAUCUACGCUGCUUGCUGUGGUCCCUCUGGCCCACCAGCUUCAGUGCCUACAACUGGCUGUGGAGAGAGCUUGUGCAAGAAGGCCCAGGAGAGCUCACAUGGGCGUUGCCAAAAGCAGGGGGAACCUUGGAUUGGAGACCUUCGUCAUCCCUCAGAGAUGCUGGCCCAGGCCAAGUUGCAGGCUUAUCUCACUCAGUGUUCAGCAGCCCGUGAGGAAGGGGCUGUCAUUGUUUCUUUGGCAGGGGCCCUCUUGUGUUGGAUCUUUUCCCCUAGACAUGGGGCACUGGUCUUCCCAGAACCAGACCCCACCUGGGGCAUCUCUGUGCCCCUACACCCGGCUCAGGCUGGGCAACAAGGAGGUGCUCAGCUCAGCUUCUGAGAAAUGGAAUUCUGUGCAUGAGACCUGAGCUUCCCACCAUUUCCUUCUGCCAGAGGAAGGGCUGGGGAAUGGAUCACCCUAAGUGUCCAGAAAGGGGUGCAGGGAAAGGUAGGGAAGGGAGCCAAUGCUUGGAGAGUGCUUGUCCUGCUGAGCACUUUUAUGUUCAUACAUUGAAACAUUUAGAUCUAAUCAUCACCACAACCCUAUGAGGGUUUCUAUUAUCCUCAUUUAUAGAUGAGGAAGCGGAGCCUCUUGGAGACCGAAAGGUCUGACCAAGGUCACACAGGAGCAGGUGGCUGACCCAGGGAGGGAGGCCAUGGCCUGGGCCUUGCCACAGUGUCACCUCGGCCUGCCCUGGGGGGUCACCACAGCAAGGCCCCCUCACACACCUGAGUGCCUAGAAGGCAGGGUCACCACCUUUCCCACCUAUGCAUCUCCCGGGUCACCUUUCUGCCUUGCUACAGUCAGGGCUUACAAGUUUUGAAUGACUGAAUUAAUGAAAAGGCAAAGAGGAAAGCUGGCGGCUUCACUUUUUAAUUGCAGUGGGACGUGAAUUGUGUGUCGCUAUGAGAAAGACUUUAUUCUCUUCACCAGCAUCUUCCCCAAAAUGCGAAGAGCAUCCUGCCAGUUCUUGGAAUAGCGGCCCAGUGUCUCCAAGCAUGCUCCACAUGAAAGGCUCGUGGUGGCAGCGACAGAGGGACUGGGGUGGGGAGGGGAGGUGCUGUGUGUGUUUGGGCUCACUCCAAUGCCAGGAAAUAAAAACUAAAAUUAGGGAGAGAGCCACUUCAGAUCAGCAGCAGAUCGUGAUAUAAACCUCCAUAUUAAAAAUGCUUUUCCUUAUUACCGAACUGAGUUUCUGGCAGAGCCUGAGAUGUCCUAGCACUUGUGUCUCUGCUCGUUUUCACUUUGAUUUUUAAAGGGAGUUGGAAGCAGUUAACUAUCCAGGCUGUGUGGGUGAAGAAAAUGCUUGCAAGAUUGACUCUGUGGGUUUGUUGUUGGAUAUAUUUCUUCUUCCUUUUCUUCUUUUAAACAUCUUCAGUCUUUCUCCACUUCUUGAGGCCUUAGAAUCACCAAACUUACUUCUUAGCUCGAGGGGUCAGUAGAGACUACGUGGCUUCAUGCCCUCAUUUUAUGGAAAGCCUCUCUGGAAGGCCAAAGGGAAGGUGAUUGGCCCAAGGUCACUCAGUGACUUCAGGGACAGCUGGGAUCAAAACCUUUGACUGCAAACCCCCAUCCGGGGCUCUGUCCUCUCGAGCUUCUAACUAUACACUCUUUACUUACCCUUGUUCUCAGGUUGGACUCUGCCUGAAAUGAGCUCUAGCUGAAGUCAUGGCCUGACAUAAAACAGUGGCUUGGGCUCCUCAGCCCUCAUUCUUUGGAGAAUCAUCUUUCCCCCAUUCUACAGUCAUCAGUGUGGUUCAGAUGGAACUACUGUGACCAGUCAGAGUGGUUGACUGGGAGGGGCUCAGGGCUGGGCCAAUCAGAGUCUUCUCUGGGACUUUGGUGGAACUUCUAGGGAUGACCAUCAUUUUCUCUAGCUUUGGAACAAUCAGGAAAAUAGAGGCCCAGAGCUGCCACGUGGAGAGAGCCUUUUGGAGGAUGAAGACAAAGACAGUUGAAAGAUGGGGAAACAGAAAUCCCACUGACAUCAUUUGAACCUCUGGGCCUAUCCGUGCUGGAAGAAAUUGCUCCCUGGGACUUGCCAGAAACACAAGUGAAUACAUUUUCCCUUUGUGUAUCAAGCCAGUUUGAGUUGGGUUUUGAUCGUUUACAAAUGAAAGAAGCCCAGCUCACACACUUCAAUAAACAAGUUCCAAAGACUGACCUGUUGGAAAGGGCAAUUCUGGGUCUGCGUGGGGCGGGUCAAGGGCCUCCCGCCACACCCUCAUUACCAGCUGGUAUGUGAAAGCAGGAGCUAGUUGCAGUUCCAGUGGAGCCCGUGUGUAAAUAUAUUUACUAGCAGGCAGGCCCUACAGCUGUCCUAGAACUGUUAAGUGACUCCGUGCAGGUCCAGUCCUCUAUUCUGUCAGGGCCUCCUACAGCAGACAUGUCCAUUUUCUAGCUGGAGGAUUCAGCAAAACUUCUUGAUACAGUCCAGUAACCAAUCCUUCUAUAAGCACCUGAAUGGAAGACUGAUUUGGAGUCCUAAAUCUUGGGCAGCAUUACAAGGGCUAAAGAUCAUAAAGGCUAAGCGUUCUGGGUUCCUAAAAACUACGUGAGCAUCCAUGGAAAAUUGUUUCCAACAUAGAUCGUGCUAAUUUUAAAGUCUCUGGUUUUAAUUAGAGGUAAAGACAGCUAAAACACUUCUAGAUGGUUCUACAGAAGAUGAAUUUUUUUAAAUAAAAUUUUUAUUUUGAAAUAA